GGCUUAUAUUCUUAAACCAGGACUUCAGCUCCUAUCAGCCCUCAGCCCAGGAUUCUAGAUCGCUGAUGGGACAGAGUCCAAACUUCAGCCUAUGUUCCCAGCUCUGGGCACUGGCCCUGCCCUUGCAGUAAUGUCAUUAAUACAACCUGCAGGUCAAGCCAACAGCCUUGCCACCUUCGCCCUCUGUCUGCCCCCGGCCCCAGUCUUCCAAGGUCUGCCAAGCACUUGGUUGAUUCAUUUUUCAUUCACAGAUAUUUAUCACACCAUCUGCUCUGUGACUGUGGUCCAAGCAAUGAGAGCUGUGGUACACCUGGGGUCAGGAGGAGUCGAGGGAGCAGUGAGAACCCAGAGGGGCCCAACCUGGUAUCUCAAGAUGCGUCCUGAGCACACAGUUCCUGGGGCCUUCCUUUUGUUUUAAGUGACCUGGGUUCAAAUCCCAGCCCUAUUGCUUCCAGUAAGUUAUUAACCAUUUUCAGUGUCCUCACCCAUAAAACAGAGAUAAUGACACCUUUGCACAGUUACACAAACCAUGAAGGGAAAGUGUGUGGCACAGAGCCACCCCGGAAAUGGAGUCCAGUUGAAUUCCUUCUGUGCAAAGUCAAGUCGAAGCCACAGACGGGGCCUCUGGGGGUUUCCUGAAGGGCAGAAGUCCCAUUUCUGGGCUGUGUCGCCAAGGCCUUUCUCAGGAAGACUGACCAUGUGCUAGGUGACCUCAAAGGGGAACUCUGGAGCUAGAUUUUGUCUUCUGAGCCUUUUCAGACCCCCAGCCAGCAGGCCAGGCAUCAGCAGGUGGAUCCUGAGCUUACAUAACCGGUCAAGAGUCCAGCACCUCUCACCCGGUGACGGGGCGUGUUUACUGAGAAGAGGUGUUCCCAGGUCAGUUCCCCGGCCUCUUAGGUGCGUCUUGGGGAUGUGCACAGCCCUUUCGCCCUUGCUGAACUCUGCUUCUUUUCUGAUUUCUUAGUCACAGUGCUUGAUGCUACUGUCAGCAACAGCUAUUUUUUAUUUUAUUCAUAUAAUUUUAUUUAUUAUGUGUUUUUGGCUGGGCUGGGUCUUCAUUGCUGUGUGGGCUUUUCUCUAGUUGUGGCAAGUAGAGUCCACUCUCUGGUUUCAGUGCUCAGGUGCUCUGGGCUUCUCAUUGUGGUGGCUUCUCUUUUUGGGGAGCACGGGCUCUAGGGCACGCAGCCUUUCCUAGUUGCAGUUCUCAGGCUUAGUGGCUCCAAGGCAUUGCGGGAUCUUCCUUGACCAAGGACCAAACCCAUGUCUCCUACAUUGGCAGGCAGAUUCUUUACCACUGAGCCACCAGGGAAGCCCAACAAACUAUUUUUAAAAAUGAAAAUAUAGUUGACUUACAAUGUUGUGUUAAUUUCUGCUGUACAGCAAAGUGAUUCAGUUUUAUAUAUAUAUAUAUAUAUAUA
rnacentral:lncRNA from 1 species